UGAUUUAUCCUCUGAUUUUCCCGCGGCGCUGGCCAGCCUUCAACACCUAGAUAUAGAUGAACUUAAAGAGAUUCUGAACAAUGAAGAUAAAUUUGACACUUUUGUGGCUGAGCUCCCCCAGAUAAAAAGUCUCCAGGUGGAAAAAGAUGUUUUAAUGACAAGUAACAAAUCGUUAGCUGAAUACAAUCUUUCACAGGAGCCUGUAGUCCGAGCAGAGAAGGAGAAGCUACUGGAAAGGUUCCAGACCGCUACUAGGCUAGCUGAACAGAUUAAACUCAUGAAAGCAGACAUUGAUUCCAAAUCUGGAAAGGUAAAUGAAUCUUUUCUCUUUUUCC
rnacentral:lncRNA from 1 species